rnacentral:rRNA from 1 species
UACGUAGGGUGCGAGCGUUGUCCGGAUUUAUUGGGCGUAAAGAGCUCGUAGGCGGCCUGUUGCGUCCGCUGUGAAAUCCCGGGGCUCAACCCCGGGCCUGCAGUGGAUACGGGCUGGCUAGAGGCAGGCAGGGGAGAACGGAAUUCCUGGUGUAGCGGUGAAAUGCGCAGAUAUCAGGAGGAACACCGGUGGCGAAGGCGGUUCUCUGGGCCUGUACUGACGCUGAGGAGCGAAAGCGUGGGGAGCGAACAGG